GCUUAGUGGAAGAAGCCAGCUGGAUUCCCUUAUCUGCUUCUGCAUUCAAUCUGUUACAAUCUGUUGUUUUGGUUGAAGUAUAUGAAGAAAAUCUCUGGAAGGAGGAUUUCAGAAAGAGCUGGAGAGACCUCCAUGAACUGAUGCAAAGUGAAAUAAGCAGAACCAGGAGAACAUUGUACACGGUAACGGCAAUAUUGUGGAGUGAUCAAAAGUGAUAGACUUACUUGCUAACAGUUUCUUCAUCUGUCAUCAUGAUUCAGGACAAUUCUGAGGGCCUUAGGACAAAGACUGCUAUCCACCUGUACAGACAACUCUCAGAGUAGAAAUGCAGAUGAAAAAUAUGAUUUAUCACUUGUUUAUUUGAGGAUAUGUUUUGGGGUUUUGGUUCUAUAAGGUUAUUCACUUAUAAAAAUGAAUAGAAUGGAAAUAUGUUUUGCAUGAUGACACAUGUAUAACCUAGAUUGAAUUGCUUGUCACCUCUGGGAAGGGGCAGGGAAGAGGGGAGGGAGACAGUAGGGAUCUUAUGACUCUGGAAAAUAUACGUGGAAAUCUGUUAUUAAAAAUAUCUCUCUGGUGCUAAUAAAAAAUAAUGAAGAAAAGAAAAAGAAAAGAAU
rnacentral:lncRNA from 1 species